GACAUCGAUACGACGCCGAACGCAAGUUCUCCUACUACCGCCGUUUGUGUCGCGACAAUCUUACCGUGCUCGAGUGCUACGUUAUAUUUGAUUCCGACAGAACAGUCACCUGAUUGUGUCUGGUUCCGGCCCCGUUAACCAGAGAAGAAAGAAAAAUUAGAAAUGCCUAUUACGAGCGAAGGAGACGCCAGGAUGCGUCUAUGGCGGAGCUAUGGCGGAGCUGGCGGCGGUGGUAGGCUGUGAUAAGGUUUUUUUGAAUUACGACAAAGAUUAGAAGCCUUUGACAGCGGAGGAGCAGAUAUAGAAGAUUCUGUAAAGUAGCAGCCGUUCUUUUCCAUAUAGGAGCAGAGUGUAAUUUUAGUAUUGAUUGUAAGUUAGAUUUUAAGAAAUGUACCUUAGAAUAUAGAAUUGGUUAGUCCAAUAAAACUGUUCCAUUUACGUAA